GGCGGUGGACCCGGCAGAGGCGUGGUCCAGCGGCGGGCGGGCACUGGAUCAGCCUUGCAGAUCCCUCAGUGAGGACGUCCGCUGAGCCAGCGAGGAGGCUGUUGCUUUUCUGAGUUGCUCUCUUCCAAGGCUCGGUCCGCUAGUCCGCAUGGCCCGUGGAAAUCAGAGAGAACUUGCCCGCCAGAAAAACAUGAAGAAAUCCCAGGAAAUUAGCAAGGGAAAAAGAAAAGAGGAUAGCUUGACUACCUCUCAGAGAAAACAAAGGGACUCUGAGAUCAUGCAACAAAAGCAAAAAGCAGCUAAUGAGAAGAAGUUGAUGCAGACAAGAGAAAAAUGAUGACUGACAACUUGGAAAACCUGGAUGCUAUGGCCAACUAGGUGUAUCACAAGCUCUAUGAUCAAGACUUUGUAGAGUGAACAGUCAUUACAUAUGUUAUGACCUAUCCUUAUAAAAACUAUUUUAAACUUUACCUUUCAGCCUGACUCAGCGUGACAUUUCAGAACCAUUCUUCAAAGAAUAAAACACUAGCCAUGCUGGGGGGAGGGAGAUAUAAGGGGACUAAAUGGUAAUGGAAAAAAAUACAAUAAAGAUUAAAUCAAAAUAAAAUCAAACACUACCAUGCAUGUGA